CAGGAUCAUGUCUAAGGCCAUUCUAUUCUGGAAGGUCAUCUGGGAAGUAGCUUGUAAUUGUUCCGCCAAACCUUGGAGGGCAUCUCUUGUAUAAUUUACAAAACGUUGUUGGCUAUAAUAGAUGUAAUUGAUCCAAUUUAAAUUUUUAUUGGCCGUGAUGAUUGGGAAAAUAGAUUCAAACCCUGCGGACACUUCAUCUCUUGCUUUAAACUCAUUCGGCACCCCCCUUGGCACUCCUAUGGCAUCUAUAUAAAUAUG
rnacentral:lncRNA from 1 species